rnacentral:rRNA from 1 species
GGGUACACCUAAAUAUUCCAUGGCGAACUGCUCAGUAACACAUGAUCAACUUGCCCUAUAGAGAAAAAUAACCUCGGGAAACUGAGGAUAAUAUUUCAUAGUUGAAAAGGCUUGGAAAAGUUUUUCAAUGAAAGGGGUAAAAUAAAUGGUUUUUAUCUGCUAUAGGAUAGGAUCGUGGUCGAUUAUGGUUGUUGGUGAGGUAACGGCUCACCAAGCCGAUAAUCGAUAGGGGCCGUGAGAGCGGGAGCCCCGAGAUGGGUACUGAGACAACGACCCAGGCCUUACGAGGCGCAGCAGGCGCGGAACCUCCGCAAUACACGAGAGUGUGACGGGGUUACCCAAAGUGUUCAAUAGAACUGUGGUAGGUGAGUAAUGUUCCCUACUAAAAAGGAGAGGGCAAGGCUGGUGCCAGCCGCCGCGGUAAAACCAGCUCUUCAAGUGGUCGGGAUAAUUAUUGGGCUUAAAGUGUCCGUAGCCGGUUUAGUUAGUUCCUGGUAAAAUCGGGUAGCUUAACUAUCUGCAUGCUAGGAAUACUGCUAUACUAGAGGGCGGGAGAGGUCUGAGGUACUACAGGGGUAGGGGUGAAAUCUUAUAAUCCUUGUAGGACCACCAGUGGCGAAGGCGUCAGACUGGAACGCGCCUGACGGUGAGGGACGAAAGCCA